ACAGGAGGCUGAAGGGCUGAAGAUCUUACAUGAGGUGAGGAAACUGAGGCAUAAAGCAUCAGUCACCUUGCUCAAGACCAAAGAGGGAAGAAGAGACGACCUGGGAUUCAAGUGUGGGCCAUGUGGCUGGAGCAUCUAUGUGCUUACCCACUCACUGGGCGACACUGCCCAGAAUGAGAGCAGGAGAGGCAUGAGUCAUGCUAACAGAGGUGAGCAGGGCAGUUCUGCUGUGAAUGACAGGGAAUAUGGACAGUUUAUGGGUAAAUGGACAGACUGUGAGCAUAUUGGACAUUUUUCACAUCACCUUCUCCUCCAUUCCCAUCUUCUCAAAAGGGUUGAAUGAAGAGAUGCCAGAGAAAGCUUGUAGUUGUUUUCUCCUCCAACCAAAUAGAAAUGAUCAUGUGUUAAAGCAGGAGAAAUGGAGGUUAGACCCAGAGAGGAACCAUGUUCUGAGAUACUGGAGUGGAAUACCAGCAGAGAGGGGCUGAGACUGGCCCUGCCUGAAGAGACUACUUUCCAGUCCUUCGGGAUGGAGGGAGUUUCCACUGGUGCAGGCACAACACCGGAGUGGCCAAGUUUCCUCUGGUCUCAUUUCCUCUGUUCUACUUUUCACAUUUCAGAAGUUGUGAACUGAGCAAGGACUGGCUCUGAGCUCUAGAUGUCUGAAUAAAUUCCCACACCCAGUGAAACCCCCAGGAGCCCUGCACAGAACAGCUAUCAUGAGACCAUUCCCACCCACUGCCACCCCAUGUGCCUUGUAGUCACCGUACUAUUGCCGUUCAGACGCUUUCACAUCCGCUCCACAGUUUUGCCCCCACAACAGCCCAUGAGAAACUUUGGCUUGGUCAUCUCCAGGACAAGGAAAGUCAUGACAGGAAUCACUAAAGUGAAAUUAAAUGAGAAUGAAGCAUCUUCUCCAAAACCAUGGCUGGGUAGGUUUCAAAAAACACCUCCUCUCCAACCCCAUUCUGUUGGCCAAGAAUGUCAGCAAUCAAAAUCACAACAUUUCAAAGCUACUGUUUCUACCAUUGCCACAUUUGUAGUAGCAUGGUUUACAAAUGCGUGAUACCUCAUAAUGGAAAAAUCCCUGGUUUGAAGUCACAAUAUUUCUGUUCUAUCCUGACUCUGCUAAUAAAACCUUGGGGAAAAUACCUCUCUAUCUCCUAAUCAAACUAGGUCAAGAUUAGUAAACAAGUGUCAACCUGUAAGCCAAGUUAAAAAAAUAUGGUUGUCUGCUGGAGCCCUUGUUUACUCUUAUUAAUUCUCAUAAUUCAUCUGCAGAUUCUUUGGGAUUUCCUGUGUCAGCAUUGAUAUGAUCAGAAAAUAAAGAUAAUUUGUCUUUCCUUCUGUAAUCCACAUACAUCUGAUUUAUUUUUCUUGUCUCACUGCUUUGGCCAAGACACUAGUUAAUUAAUGAAUAGUAGCAGUAACUGGAGCAAUUCUUAUCUUAUUCCUGACUUUGAUAGUAUUGCUUCUCAAG